rnacentral:rRNA from 1 species
UACAGAGGGGCAAGCGUUAUUCGGAAUUAUUGGGCGUAAAGAGCUCGUAGGCGGCUUGUUUGCGUCGGCUGUGAAAACCCAUGGCUCAACCGUGGGCUUGCAGCCGAUACGGGCAGGCUAGAGUUCGGUAGGGGAGACUGGAAUUCCUGGUGUAGCGGUGAAAUGCGCAGAUAUCAGGAGGAACACCGGUGGCGAAGGCGGGUCUCUGGGCCGAUACUGACGUGAGGAGCGAAAAGCGUGGGGAGCGAACAGG